rnacentral:lncRNA from 1 species
CUCAACUCACUCGGCUUUGCGGGAGGCUCAAAGCCUCAGGUUAGGGCAGAGGUGCGGGCUUCCUCUGCUCUCUCUCUCCCAAGACACUGGUUUCUGUUUGGGAGCAGAUCCCUUCUUGGAUCCACGCUGCUUCUGCGAUUCUGAACAAACCAUCAAUCUCCUGAGUCUCAGUUCUCCCUUCUGUAUAAUGGCCUUUAAAGCCUGGUGGAGUGUUGGGGGCACAGGAGAUAAUACUGGGGAAAAUCACGCUCUCUCUUAAGUAGAAACCGAAUUUCACUUUUAGUUUACAAUGCUCAGAAUAAUCUGGGCCAAAUGUGCGAAGCCAAGUAAGAGCUGAGUGGCUACUCACACACAGAAUAUAUGUUUAUACACAUACACAUAAUGUUUUUAGCAUACCAGGACUGCUUAGACGUCUUUAAAGAGAACACUAGCCCAGGUCCUUCUCCAGGGAGGCGACUGUCUCCAGCAGGACUUUUUCUCCCCUCUACUGAGGCCACCUACCUGUCUUAAGCCCCCAGACCCCAUCCGUUCUGGGGUUCCCCUGCAAUCCAGAGCCAGGCUGAGGUGGUAUGCGGGAAGAUCUCCCUUUGGAAAAUGUUUCUGGAUAAUUUCCCAACUCCUUGACCAUGUUCUCCCCACCUCACCCACAUUCAGAUAACACAGGUUCUAAGGCUCCUUCACUCCUCCACCCCCGGGGGGGAUACUCCUUGGGCCUGGCCCUGUGGAGGAGCUGGGAGGUGGGAUCCAGAACCAAUUGCAAUUCUGGACGCACACUCAACCGCCUCCUCACUCCCUUUUAACCUUUCCCUCUCGUCAGAAGCCAAAUUGAGAUAGUCUUGAGUUUUGAUUUAAUUCCCGAAAUGGAGUCAUAAUCUGCUUAGUGUCCUUUUUCCCGAGUCCUAGAUACUGAAGUGUGUGUGUCUGUCAGGGGGAGUUAAAAGAGCAGCUCUGUGACCUUUGGAGGACCCUCACACUCACUCAUCUCCCAAACACCACCAAAGAGCAGGAGACGCCAUGGCCCUGAGUUGCUGGGUAGUAUGAUGAUGGUACUGACAACUCACAUUUACUAGGCACUUACCACAUGCCAGUACUGAGACAGGCACUAUACACGCAUUUCUCACUUAAUUCUCACAACUACCUUUCAGGUAGGUACCAUUCAUAUCCCCAAUUUACAGAUGAAGAAACUGAGGCUUAGCGAGGUUAAGCAGUUUAUGUUCCAUCCUGCAGUGAUUACAGACGGUCCUUGACUUAUGAUGCUUUGACUUACAAUUUCUCAGCUUUAUGAUGAUGUGGAAGUGAUAUGCAUUCAUUAGAUACUGUACUUCUAAUACUCAUACAACCACUCUGUUUUUCACUUUCAGUACAGUAUAUUAUAACAUGUUGAAUCUCAUGUUGAAUACAUGAGAUGAAUAAAUAUCUCAUGUUGAAUACAUGAGAUAUUCAACACUUUAUUAUAAAAUAGGCUUUGUGCUAGAUGAUCUUGCCCAACUGUAGGCUGAUGAAAGUGUCCUGAACACUUUAAGGUAAGCGAGGCUGAACUAUGAUGUUUGGUGGGUUAGGUGUAUGAAAUGCAUAUCCACCUUACAAUAUUUUCAACUUACUACAGCUUUAUCGGGACACAGCCUCAUCGUAAGUCAAGGAGAGUCUAUUAUUAAGUGGCAGAGCCCAAAUUUGAAACUACACAGUCAGACUGCAGAGCCUGUGCUCUUAACCACUUAGUUGUGUGACACCUGGCAGGGUAUUUAACUUCUACAUGCCCUGUUCCCUCAUUUGCAAAACACAGAUAAGUAGGGAUGAUAAGAUAUUCCCUUCAAAGAAUUAUGUUGUGUAAUUGAGCUAAGGCAUUCACCAUACUCGCAGUAAGCAUUCAGUAGUUUAGGUGCCCUACACACUGGAGCAAGGUUGAGGAAGGGAAAGGGUACAAUCCAAUGGGCUAUUAAUUAUUCAUUGUUACUGUUGAUAAUAAUAGUUAUCAUGCAUUGAGAUCCAACUGAGCAUUGGCCACCCUACAAGGUAAAAAUUAUGUCUGUUUUACAGAUGAAGAAACUGAGUUUCACAUAGAUUAGGUAAAUUACCUAAAGCCAUCCAGUUAAUAAGUGACAGAACAGAGCUCUUGUUCAAACACUGGGCCCUUGACUCCAAAGCCUGCAGUUCCCAGCACCCCCAGGGUCACCAAAACCUGGCCUCUCCUGGGGGAGGUCAGGGCUGAGGCCAACAAGCCCAAGUCACACCCUUUACCACCUGGGACAUGAUUUUCUCCAGGUGAGCAAUGUUUUCUUAAAAGAACAGGAGGACAGUAAAUAAUUAACUAAGACAGUUUCUCCCUCCCUGAAGCCAAGGUAGAACCUCCCCCCUACAGCCAACCCCCACUCUCCUCACUCCUGUUUCCUCUGGGCUCAAGUUUGUGGCCAUUAAAUAGAAGAGGAGAAAGUUUGAACCAGGCAUGAAAUAUUUAUCAGAACCUGAAGAACAUCUCUCUUUCUUCACAAGAAGCUUGUAACACAAUAACUACCACUUAUCGAGCCCCUGCUGAAUGCUUGGAUCUAUGCAAAUAAAAUUUAAUCUGAUCUACAGAACAACUCUAUAAGGUCAGUGGGUAUGUCUAUUUUAUGGAUGGCUCAGAGAGGUUAAGUAAUUUGCCCAAGUUUGUACAACUAGCAAGUGUCAGAUCAGGGACUUGAAUCACAAACCCAUGCUUUUAACCCCUGUGGUACACUGCCUCUCACUUUCUCAAGGUCAGAAGGGAAGGGCUUCAGGUCCACCAUAUGAAGUGCCUACGGAAUGUCUUGGGGAAGGAAAGACGAGAGAAGCAAGGAGAAGUAUAGAGAAGCAGACAAGGGCUACACAUGCAUAGGGCAUGGAGGGCAGAAUGGUGGCUGGGAAAGACUGAAGAGGGUUUGUGGGGUUAAGAGGAGUUACCUGAAGGAGGGUGUGGUAAGCCAACAAGUGCAUGGGAAGGGGGCAGUCGCUAUGGAGAUAGCUGGGGAGUGGGGGAACGGGGUCCAGGAGUGGGCGCCGGCAGUUGGAACAUCCAGAACAGUGAGCAGUGCCCAUCGUGGACUGGGUGGUUGGGGAGUGGGAGGGACCUCGUGUCAGAGGAGGGGUCUUUGUGAGCGUGCAGCAGUGAGGAAUGCUCCGCCAUGAAUACUAAGGGCAAGAAGAGAAAGGGCCAGAGGGGGCUGGGUGAUGUUUAGCUGCUGGGGUGAUUAAUGGGGGUGAACGGAGGGUGAAACUCAAGCCCUUCCAACGAAGAUGGUGGGGAAUGGUUGUCCAAGAACAACAGUGCACUGUUUCAUGGAGAAAGCCAAUGUCCAGGGGAGGGGUGGCUGAGAAAGAUGCUAGGCACAGUUGCUCCUUCCCUUUUUUCCCAAGUUCUCUUGAUUUACCACCAAACAGUAAAUUAAACUAUAUUAGCCAGUUCCAGGGGACCCUCUGGAUGGGCUUCCUACCUGCCUCCUGGCUUUGGAGAGACCAAGGAAUGUUGGCAUGGCUUGGAGAAAGAGUGAGUGAGGUCUGGGCUGAAAGCUGAGAUGACUCCAUGGACCACCCCCAUCGUGGGGCACAAAAUGGUAAUGUGUUGGCAAGAGCCACUGGCUCCCUCUGGACCAGACAGGCACUGAGAGAUACAUGGGGGUUGGGACUUCAGGUGUCCUGUAGAAAGUGGUAGUGUUCUUAGAGCAGUUUUUAGAGAAGCCCCUUGGCCUCAGGGAGGGACACAGGGCUCCUUUUCUGUGAGAGAGAGAGAGUUGGGGGAACAAGGAGAGAGGGCUUCCCAUGGCUCUGGUUUUAGGGUGUUGACCUGGGUUUGAAGAAUGGAGAUAAACCUUGUGGGAAAUAACAGGUUUAAGCCACUCUCCCCUCAUUUCCUACUGCUGUCUCUUCCUCUAGGUACAGCUGUUGGGAGCUGCAUCUCCUACCCUCAGUCUCCCUGUCUGUGGUUCCAGAGGGAAGAAGAGGGGAAAAAAAGGAUGAAGAGAAUUGUUUCAGUGCUGGGGGAGUCUCCCUCUGAUGCCGAGCCAAAGCUGGA